rnacentral:rRNA from 1 species
CCUACGGGGGGCAGCAGUGGGGAAUAUUGGGCAAUGGGCGCAAGCCUGACCCAGCAACGCCGCGUGAAGGAAGAAGGCUUUCGGGUUGUAAACUUCUUUUGACAGGGAAGAGUAGAAGACGGUACCUGUCGAAUAAGCCACGGCUAACUACGUGCCAGCAGCCGCGGUAAUACGUAGGUGGCAAGCGUUGUCCGGAUUUACUGGGUGUAAAGGGCGUGUAGCCGGGUUGACAAGUCAGAUGUGAAAUCCUGCGGCUUAACCGUAGAACUGCAUUUGAAACUGUUGAUCUUGAGUACUGGAGAGGCAGACGGAAUUCCUAGUGUAGCGGUGAAAUGCGUAGAUAUUAGGCAGAACACCAGUGGCGAAGGCAGUCUGCUGGACAGCAACUGACGGUGAGGCGCGAAAGCGUGGGGAGCAAACAGGAUUAGAUACCCUUGUAGUC